AAGGAGUUAAGUUAAUUGAGACUUUCAGCCUUCAAAGCUGGCAGUGAAGGUGUCUUCAGUCCUUA
rnacentral:tRNA from 1 species